rnacentral:rRNA from 1 species
ACGAACGCUGGCGGCAUGCCUAAUACAUGCAAGUCGAACGACCGGAGCAAUCCGGGAGUGGCGAACGGGUGAGUAACACGUGGGAACCUGCCCAGCGGUGGGGAACAACCGAGGGAAACUUCGGCUAAUACCGCAUACGCCCGCUAAGUGCAUAACUUGGCGGGGAAAGAUUUAUCGCCGUUGGAGGGGCCCGCGUCCGAUUAGCUAGUUGGUGAGGUAACGGCUCACCAAGGCGACGAUCGGUAACUGGUCUGAGAGGACGACCAGUCACACUGGGACUGAGACACGGCCCAGACUCCUACGGGAGGCAGCAGUAGGGAAUAUUGGACAAUGGGGGAAACCCUGAUCCAGCAAUGCCGCGUGAGUGAUGAAGGCCUUAGGGUUGUAAAGCUCUUUCGCCCACGACGAUGAUGACGGUAGUGGGAGAAGAAGCCCCGGCUAACUUCGU